CCGCGCUCCCUCAGCCGUGCCCUCGCUCUUCAUCAUCUGCCGUCGCGCCUCUCUCCCUCGUCCUAGCAUGGAACGCGGUUCCAAGGCAGCGCCUCCCUCAGCGAAUGGCGGUGAGGUUAUACUCUAUUCAGGAGCCAUUGUACAUGCUUUGUGUUGGCUUUGGUGUUUCCAAAUGAAUGUUGUUGGAAGUCAUGUAAGAUUAAUGGUACUGAAUUGUCAUAUUAAUAAGUAUUGAUGAACUGGGCUAGGUAAUGAGAAGAAAACAAGUUGCUGA